rnacentral:lncRNA from 1 species
ACAAGUAUAGGUUUGUAGGAUAUCCUAUGGAAACUAAUGGAUACUACUACUACCACCCUACUGAAUAAAAGGUGUUUGUUAGUAGGCAUGCCACUUUCUUGAAAAAUGAACUCAUCCAAGAAGGUGGCAGUGGGAGGAAUAUUGAACUUAUUGAAGUUCAUGAUCUACAAAUCGAUCCAAAAAUAUCUGUGGUUGAACCAUAAGAAAAUUCUCAAUCAGAAGUACCCAAGGAUAA